CGUAGAAGUCCGGAUGGGGAUCAUUUAUCAAGGAAGCUCGGUCGAAGCCUGCCUGCAAUAGAAAUCCAGAAGGAAUUCAUCCAUAAUGGAAGCUCGGGUGAAGGCUUACAGUGGAAGUCUGGCGUGGACCGCUCGUAGUAGAAAUUUAAAGUAAACCACUUGUAGCAGAAGCUCAGAGUCCGACCCUUGUAGGAGUUCG
rnacentral:lncRNA from 1 species